GCCCGACCCCACAGGGGUAUAAAGGCUGGAGGGUUUGAGACGCUGGCAGAUUGAAAUAAACCACAGAGAAAGACACACAGAGAGGACCAGAAGAAGAAGAACAUGGACAUCCAGACAGGUCAGUUGGUUCGACCAGUCAGUGCCAUGGAGAGUCUGGAGAAGCAGCUCAGCUGUCCAAUCUGCCUCGACAUGUUCACCAAGCCGGUGGUCAUCCUCCCCUGCCAACACAACCUGUGCCGCGGCUGCGCCAAUGACCUUUAUGAGUCCAGGAACCCCUACCACUACUCGGGGGGAACCUUCCGCUGCCCCACAUGCCGCUUCGAGGUGGUUUUGGACCGGCAUGGCGUGUACGGGCUGCAGCGGAAUCUGCUGGUGGAGAACAUCAUCGACAUUUAUAAGCAGCAGCAGGAGAGCCAGGGAGGUGAUGGCGAGGAGCCCCCUCUUAAAGACAAGGACGUCAAGGAGCCGAAGUGUAAGGAGCACGAGGACGAACGCAUCAACAUCUACUGUGUCAGUUGCCAGACACCAACCUGCUCCAUGUGUAAAGUGUUCGGACAGCACAAAGAUUGCGAUGUGUCACCGCUGCACACUGUCUACCAGAGUCAGAAGAACGAGCUGCGCUUGGCCAUGGAGCUGCUCGCCACAGGAAACAACUGCAUCCAGGCUGUCAUGGCGCAGAUGGACGACACAUGUAAGUUGAUCCAGGAGAAUGGAGAGCUGAAGAAGAGGCGGCUGGGUGAGAGCUUUGACCUGCUGUACGCUAUCAUGGAGGAGCGUAAAGGCCAGCUGCUGGAGCGGAUCAGCCAGGUGGAGCAGGACAAAGUGUCCACGCUCAGAAAUAUGGCAGACCAGUACAAGCAGCAGCUGCAGGUCAGCAACCAGCUGCAGGAGAAACUGGCGCAGAGCGUCCAGUCCGUCGGCGCCGCACAGUUCCUCCUCACCGCCAAGCAGCUGCAGGAGGAAGCCAAGCAGGCGGCCAGGGCAGCCCAGCUGAAGAGGCCCGAGCCGGGCUACGAGAGCAUGGAGCACCUGAGUCUGGACACCCAGGAGGCCGAGGCCCUGCUAGCCUGCAUGGACUUCACACAGGGGGGCGAAGAGGAAGACCAGGACUUUGACACAAAGUAACAAGAGUGAGAAAAACUUUCAAAAAAAAAAGUUCAGGACAUUUUUUUACUCUUACAAAAUGAAACAUUUUGUUGGACUUUUUAUACUUUUCUAUCUCUGAAUGUUUUUCUCGCUCGACAUUCGAGACAAAGUCUGAAACGAGCAUCUGUGUUUGUCUGAAAUGUCUUUUGAACGUGUGAAUAAAGUUUUAUUUG